CUUACAAAUUCUUGACAAAUAUAAAAAUAUUAUUGAAAUAAAAAGAAGCGAUGUAACAACAUUGAAAGAUAAAGAUGUUGCGUGGAGCAAAAUUUGUGAAGAAUACAAUCAGUCAUCACUUAUCUGUUAAGAGAAAACUGUGCAACAGUUAAAAAAAUUGUGGCAAAUUUGAAGCCAAACAGGUGCCUUAACUAAAGAAAAGCAAGCGCGUUUAGCAACUGGAGAACCACUAGAACUAGAAGCAAGUUGAUCCUGACAUCCUCAAUAUUACAUCACAUCUAAUAGAAACUGUUCAGUAUUAUUCACGUCAAAUAUGUCUGAAAAAGAAAUUGAAGAUAAACGCGAACUUACAAUCGAUAUAAUAUCUAAUAACGAAAACGUAAUUAUAUUAGAUAACACAUUGACAAAUAAUGACA